CUUUGAACUUUGACUAAUUUUGGAUCUCCCUGUUUUUGUCACAGUUUUUGGUGCUUCUGGAUCCUGCUGGUUCUUCCCUCACUCUGGUCAAUCCAACUGUCACCCACUUCUGUCCAGCUUUAUGUCUCUCCAGCCGUGACGUUCUGACCCUGCCGAGUUGUCCAUAGUUCCGUCCGUUAUAUCUGCCUGUUUCCUAAAUAAACAUUUUAAAACUG